rnacentral:rRNA from 1 species
CAGUAGCCGCGGUAAUACGGAGGGUGCAAGCGUUAAUCGGAAUUACUGGGCGUAAAGCGCACGCAGGCGGUCUGACAAGUCAGAUGUGAAAUCCCCGGGCUCAACCUGGGAACUGCAUUUGUGACUGUAUAGCUAGAGUACGGCAGAGGGGGAUGGAAUUCCGCGUGUAGCAGUGAAAUGCGUAGAUAUGCGGAGGAACACCGAUGGCGAAGGCAAUCCCCUGGGCCUGUACUGACGCUCAUGCACGAAAGCGUGGGGAGCAAACAGGAUUAGAUACCCCUGUAGUCCCUGUCUCUUAUAC